rnacentral:lncRNA from 1 species
AGUGACGCGUAACGCCUAGACGGCCGAUUUUUAGAACAGGGGUGAAACAACAGUCAGAAAAUGAUAAACAAUGGUUUUAAGCAUCUUUAUCGAGAUUAAAAAAUGUAUUUUCAGUCGUGCGUCCAAGUGGGAUAAUAUAUUAUACAUAAAAUUUGAAAACCAAUAUUUUUAGCGAGUUUAUCACAUACUGUAUUAAGGAUUUGUUGGCGUGGUCUGAGAUAAAGGUAUCAUAUACUUAUCCACAAUAUUGCACUUUUUCAAAUCGACUUGGCGUUCAUUAGCCACCACAACUUCUAACAUAGACUUCUUACAGCCACAUAUAUCCGAUAUGGUGAAGAUUUUAUGACAAGUAAAAGGGGAAAAGAAACUGAACAUCCACCAAUACUUUGUCGCUGCAAAAAAUACUUGAAGAACGAAUUUGACACACACAAAAGAUGCCAGAAUUAAAGAACAACAUUAUUUG